rnacentral:rRNA from 1 species
GACGAACGCUGGCGGCGUGCUUAACACGUGCAAGUCGAACGGAAAGGCCCUGCUUUUGUGGGGUGCUCUAGUGGCGAACGGGUGAGUAACACGUGAGUAACCUGCCCUUGACUUUGGGAUAACUUCAGGAAACUGGGGCUAAUACCGGAUAGGAGCUCCUGCUGCAUGGUGGGGGUUGGAAAGUUUCGGCGGUUGGGGAUGGACUCGCGGCUUAUCAGCUUGUUGGUGGGGUAGUGGCUUACCAAGGCUUUGACGGGUAGCCGGCCUGAGAGGGUGACCGGCCACAUUGGGACUGAGAUACGGCCCAGACUCCUACGGGAGGCAGCAGUGGGGAAUAUUGCACAAUGGGCGGAAGCCUGAUGCAGCAACGCCGCGUGCGGGAUGACGGCCUUCGGGUUGUAAACCGCCUUCGCCUGUGACGAAGCGUGAGUGACGGUAAUGGGUAAAGAAGCACCGGCUAACUACGUG